rnacentral:lncRNA from 1 species
AUGAGGAGGAGGAGGAGCAAAAUGGAAAGGAUACGCCCAGGGUUUAGAAAAAUUCAUGGAAUCAGAGGAAGAGAAACCAUGGGUCCUUCAGGGGAUAAAAGUCACUUCAUUGUGUUGGAAGCAACAGUAGGUUUAAGCUCUCAUCCGCCUACUCACUUAACAUCAGCGUGGACAGGGCAACACGAGCGCUGUGCCUCCUUCUCCCACAUAAAGUGCACCGAAGCCUUCUUUUCUUCUACAACAGUCUUUUGGUACAAAAGUUGUAGGAGAAAAUCACUGCUUUGUUCUUUGGGGGCACCUCACACCUCCUUCUCCUUUUGCUUUUGGGGCACCAUAGCUUGUCUAUUUCCAUCUCACACCUAG